rnacentral:sRNA from 1 species
UCGGUGUUUGCGUACUUUCGGAGCUACAGUAACCCGGAAACCUCAAAAUCCAAGCUAGAAACU